rnacentral:rRNA from 1 species
GACGAACGCUGGCGGCGUGCCUAAUACAUGCAAGUCGAGCGGAACCAUUGGAGCUUGCUCCAUUUGGUUUAGCGGCGGACGGGUGAGUAACACGUGGGCAACCUGCCCUGCAGAUCGGGAUAACUCCGGGAAACCGGUGCUAAUACCGAAUAGUUUGCGGCCUCUCCUGAGGCUGCACGGAAAGACGGUUUCGGCUGUCACUGCAGGAUGGGCCCGCGGCGCAUUAGCUAGUUGGUGGGGUAAUGGCCCACCAAGGCGACGAUGCGUAGCCGACCUGAGAGGGUGAUCGGCCACACUGGGACUGAGACACGGCCCAGACUCCUACGGGAGGCAGCAGUAGGGAAUCUUCCGCAAUGGACGCAAGUCUGACGGAGCAACGCCGCGUGAGUGACGAAGGUUUUCGGAUCGUAAAAACUCUGUUGUGAGGGAAGAACACGUACCAGGUAACUACUGGUACCUUGACGGUACCUCACCAGAAAGCCACGGCUAACUACGUGCCAGCAG